CUGUCCUGGACUUUGUUCUUUAUAUGUAAAGACUUGAAAUAGAACAUACUCAAACUUGUCUUUAAGUAAGUCUGCAGGUAUACAGGUUUAUGUGUCUUAAAAUCUUGAUUUUUUUUUUUUUAAAGCUAAACCUCAUAUUAUAAAACCAAACUCCUCUGCAGCUUGAAACACUUCUUGGCUGACAAUAGAAGACUGUCUUUCCCAAUGUCCUGGAAGCAGGCCUUCCUGUUUUCCACAAUUGAACAAACUGGAAGUCAUGAGACUGAAGCUGUGCUGACCCAAAGCUUGUCACAAGCUGGUGACAAUGAGGACCAGGUGUUUGGGCUUUUCUCCACGUCCUUGGAAUAGGUGAGCCUAAAAUGUCUUGAGUGUUUCCCACACUGACUCACGCUAUAGCACCUAAGACCCCAGUAACCAGGCAGCCUGGGUGGAAACUGGGAAAACCCAGACUGCAGGUCACUUUCUGCCUUUACUCCCAAACUCUGCUCAAGGACAGGAGAGCCAGUAUGCAUCUGGGUCUGGUCUACUUUGGAAGACAUUCUGCAAAGAUAUAUAACCUCAGGAGAUAAAACAGAUGAACUUGGAAGGCUAAAAUCUGCAGAAGCCAAAAUCAACCAGCAAUAGUUGAGGUGAAAUACAGGCAAUGAAAUGUGGGUGUGUUUAAAAAGGAAACCAGGAAGCCAAGAUUACUUACACAGCUAAAAGAUGGUGGAUGCCAACAACAACGGAAUACUGGAGAAAGAAUGAAGCCACUACCAGGCACAGAGUCGUCGGCAGAAACAUCAGACCUUUAUCGCUCACUACAUGCUGCAAAACUGAACUAACAAAUGGUGAAUGAAACACCCAAAGCAACCACGAAUGGAAUCUGCAUCACAGACAUCCAAGGAGAACUGCAAUGUAUCUCUACAGACACAUGGAACAUGCAUUAAAAAAGAGCAUACAUUAUAAAUACAAAAGUAUUCACGUUUUCACCAAUUAUCUUGGAAAGGUGAAAGACAUAGGAGAUCCCUUUAGUAAAGAAAAAGAAUGCUGAUAACAGGAAAUACUAUCCCAUUAUCAAGCGUCUGUUUUCUCAGUCUCAGAGAUACCAUAAUACCUGGGUACCCAGUCUCCAGGAUGAAGAUGUCUGUAUUACAUGACUUGACAUGACAGAAAAGAUACAAGACAGGUUACCUCUAUACAAUGUCUUUGCUCAUAAAGAAUUAAUGCUGCCCAGUGAAACACUUUGCGUAACAAAAGAAGGGACCCUAGACAUCUGGCUAGGAGCAAAGCUAAUGAGGAACAGACCUACCACUUUGGGGUCUUGUUACCACAAGUAAAUUAAUAAAUAAAGAGCAUAUCAUCUGAAAAAUUACAA